rnacentral:rRNA from 1 species
AGUGAACGCUGGCGGCAGGCCUAACACAUGCAAGUCGAACGGCAGCACAAGAGAGCUUGCUCUCUGGGUGGCGAGUGGCGGACGGGUGAGGAAUGCAUCGGAAUCUGCCCAUUUGUGUGGGAUAACCUCUGGAAACCGUUACUAAUACCGCAUACGACCUACGGGUGAAAGCAGGGGAUCUUCUCACCUUUCGCAGAUGGAUGAGCCGAUGCCGGAUUAGCUAGUUGGAGGGGUAAAGGCCCACCAAGGCGACGAUCCGUAGCUGGUCUGAGAGGAUGAUCAGCCACACUGGAACUGAGACACGGCCCAGACUCCUACGGGAGGCAGCAGUGGGGAAUAUUGGACAAUGGGCGCAAGCCUGAUCCAGCCAUGCCGCGUGUGUGAAGAAGGCCUUCGGGUUGUAAAGCACUUUUGUUGGGAAAGAAAAGCAGCAGGUUAAUACCCGGUUGUCAUGACGGUACCCAAAGAAUAAGCACCGGCUAACUUCGUG